GGUUUGUGCAACCAUCACCACAAUCUAUUUUUAGAGAUUAUCGCGUCUUCUCCAAAAGAAACUCACCCUGCCUAUGGAAACCUUCAGAUGAAGUCACCUCUGACAGCUGCAUUGUCCAUAGCAUUGAGAAACCAGAUGGAACACUCCAAGGUGUGGAUCAAAGAAUUGUGAACCAGGAUUGAAAAGGUCCCCAAAUGUAAUUCAGUCCAAUCACCUCUCUGAAGCAAGGAUCAUCAUUUAUAACCACCUGGUCAAAUGGUCACCCAGUUGAUGAUAGAAUUCUUGUAGUGCCAGGAAUCCCACUUUGUUCUGAAACAUCACUAUUCUCAAAGC